AUGAAAUCCUUGAUUGUUUCCCUAGUGUUCCUGUGGCUUCACUUUAAUUGGGUGAGCAGCCAGCAGAAGUUGCAGCAGAACCCGGAAUUUCUCAGUGUCCCAGAAGGAACCAUGGCUUCUUUCAACUGCACUUUCAGUGAUGGCAAUUCUGAUGACUUCAGGUGGUACAGACAGCAGCCUGGGAAAGGCCCCAAGUUGCUCAUGUCUAUAUUCUCUAGUGGAGAAAAAGAAGAAGGUAGAUUCACAAUUCACCUCAACAAAGACAGCAGGCAUGUUUCUCUGCACAUCAGAGUCUCCCAGCCCAGUGAUUCAGCUGUCUAUUUUUGUGCAGUGAGAACACAGUGCUCCCCAGGCACCUAG